rnacentral:rRNA from 1 species
GAUGAACGCUAGCGGCAGGCCUAAUACAUGCAAGUCGAACGGUGUCUUCGGACAUAGUGGCGCACGGGUGCGUAACACGUAUGCAACCUACCUUACAUUGGGGGAUAGCCUUUCGAAAGGGAGAUUAAUACAGCAUAAGACAGUAGCUGGGCAUCCAGCAGCUGUUAAAGAUUUAUCGAUGUAAGCUGGGCAUGCGUCCAAUUAGCUAGUUGGUGAGGUAACGGCUCACCAAGGCAAUGAUUGGUAGGGGAACUGAGAGGUCAAUCCCCCACACUGGCACUGGGAUACGGGCCAGACUCCUACGGGAGGCAGCAGUAGGGAAUAUUGGGCAAUGGACGCAAGUCUGACCCAGCCAUGCCGCGUGCAGGAUGAAGGCGUUAUGCGUUGUAAACUGCUUUUAUACAGGGAGAAACGACUCUUGCGAGAGGCAUUGACGGUACUGUAUGAAUAAGCACCGGCUAACUCCGUGCCAGCAGCCGCAGUAAAAC